rnacentral:rRNA from 1 species
AGGACGAACGCUGGCGGCGUGCUUAACACAUGCAAGUCGAGCGGAAAGGCCUUUCGGGGUACUCGAGCGGCGAACGGGUGAGUAACACGUGAGUAAUCUGCCCAUCGCUUCAGGAUAGCCAUCGGAAACGGUGAUUAAUACUGGAUAUGACAUUCCUUCGCAUGUUGGGGUGUGGGUAAAGUUUUUUCGGCGGUGGAUGUGCUCGCGGCCUAUCAGCUUGUUAGUGGGUAAUGGCCUACCAAGGCUUUGGACGGGUAGCCGGCCUGACGGAGGGUGACCGGCCACGACUGGGACUGGACGACACGGCCCAGACUCCGUACGGGAGGCAGCAGUGGGAAUAGUGGACAAGUGGGCGGAAGCCGUGACUCCAGCGAACGCCG